AUCCAUCGCUAGGGGUGCACUCCGCUGAGAGGAAUUUUUCCAACCCUAUGAACCUGAUCCGGGUAAUACCGGCGAAGGGAAGCGGCCAGAAAAGGGA
rnacentral:ncRNA from 2 species